GACGGAGGAUGCAAGUGUUAUCCGGAAUCACUGGGCGUAAAGCGUCUGUAGGUGGUUUAAAAAGUCUACUGUUAAAAAUUGAAGCUUAACUUCAAAGAUGCCGUAGAAACUUUUAAACUUGAGGAUGGUAGGGGUAGAGGGAAUUUCCAGUGGAGCGGUGAAAUGCGUAGAUCUUGGAAAGACCACCAAUGGCGAAGGCACUCUACUGGGCCAUGACUGACACUAAGAGAUGAAAGCUAGGGGAGCAAAUGGG
rnacentral:rRNA from 1 species